rnacentral:rRNA from 1 species
AAUAGAUACCCGGUAGUCCUAGCUGUAAACGGUGGAUGCUAGCUAUUGGGGGAAUCGACCCCUCCGAAGCGAAGCUAACGCGUUAAGCAUCCCGCCUGAGUAGUACGAGCGCAAGCUUAAAACUCAAAGGAAUUGACGGGGACCCGCACAAGCGGUGGAGCGUGUGGUUUAAUUCGAUGGUAAACGAAGAACCUUACCAAGGUUUGACAUCCCGGUAGCCGUUCUCCGAAAGGAGAAUUUCAUUUAGUUGGACCGGUGACAGGUGAUGCAUGGCCGUCGUCAGCUCGUGUCGUGAGAUGUUGGGUUAAGUCCCGCAACGAGCGCAACCCUUAUGAUUUAGUUGGAUUUUUCUAAACAGACUGCCCUGGUAACAGGGAGGAAGGAGGGGAUGAUGUCAGGUCAGUAUUUCCCUUACACCUUGGGCGACACACGCGCUACAAUGGCCGGUACAAUGGGCAGCUAAGCCGCGAGGUGGAGCAAAUCCCAUCAAAGCCGGUCCCAGUUCGGAUUGCAGGCUGAAACCCGCCUGCAUGAAGCCGGAAUCGCUAGUAACC